rnacentral:rRNA from 1 species
UACGUAGGUGGCAAGCGUUGUCCGGAUUUACUGGGCGUAAAGAGCGCGCAGGCGGUCGUACAAGUCGCGUGUGAAAGCCCCCGGCUCAACUGGGGAGGGUCACGCGAUACUGUUCGACUCGAAGGCAGGAGAGGGAAGCGGAAUUCCCGGUGUAGUGGUGAAAUGCGUAGAUAUCGGGAGGAACACCAGUGGCGAAGGCGGCUUCCUGGCCUGUUCUUGACGCUGAGGCGCGAAAGCGUGGGGAGCGAUCCGG